AUUUAUCUAAUACAAAGAAAGUAUAUUUGACUUCCAAUCAAAAAAUUUGUGAAAACAAGAUAAAUA
rnacentral:tRNA from 1 species